GGAGAAGGAGGAGGAGGUGAAGGUGGAGGUGGAAGUGGAGGUGGAGAAGGAGAAGGAGGAGGAGGUGAAGGUGGAGGAGGAGGUAACUUUAUUCUCUUACAGUCCUCAUAUAAGGCAACCACGAGGUCUGUUUUUUUUUCUUUUUAAAGGAGGAGGAGGAGGAACAAAGAAACACAAAGAGAGAACAAACAACAGCAGGCCUGCUGGUCCUUACGAGGCUGUUUGUGAUAAGCUACACUAACUAUCUAAUCAAAGGUGGAAGAUGAAGGACAGCAAAGGCGAAGGCCGUGGUGAGCAAAUCAGGGAAGUAAAGUAACGGAACAGGCCUUCCUGGCGAGCGUCGCAGGGCUCAGGGCUCCGGCAGGGCGCCUCGGCUCCCCCGGAGCGUCCACGGAGGUGUCGGAGAUCCCGAGGGUCCGGGGGUUGGGGGGGCUUGAAGUGGCAGCAAGACAUGCAGUUACUGACCUCUUAUUAGCCAGACGACGCGUUAAUGACACGUUCCAAUGGAAGGUUCGACGCAUGGGGAGGUACAAUUCCCCUAAGCAAGGCAAGUGUCAUGCCAACUACGAUAAAAAACGAAAAAUCCAAAAAAAAUCCAAAAACAAAAAAUCCAAAAAAAAAUUGUCUUGUUUUGCUUUGUUUAAAGCGUCUUGUAUGUUGGUAUGGCGGGUCUUCUCUGGGGAGAAGGAGACUAACGCGUUCCAACAUACAAAACCAGGAAAAGACGACAUGGAAACACCGAGAGAAGGAAGGGGAAGAAGGGAACACCAGAAGAAGGAAAAUGAAGAGAAGUAACACUAGAAGAAGGCAUAUGAAGUAACACAAGAAGAAGGAAGUUGAAAAGAGUAACACAAGAAAAAGGAAUUUGAAAAGAGUAACACAAGAAGAGGGAAUUUGAAAAGAGUUACACAAGAAAAAGGAAUUUGAAAAGAGUUACACAGAAGAAGGUAUUGAAAAGAGUAACACAGAAGAAGGUAUUGAAAAGAGUAACACAGAAGAAGGUAUUGAAAAGAGUAACACAGAAGAAGGUAUUGAAAAGAGUAACACAGAAGAAGGUAUUGAAAAGAGUAACACAGAAGAAGGUAUUGAAAAGAGUUACACAGAAGAAGGUAUUGAAAAGAGUUACACAGAAGAAGGUAUUGAAAAGAGUAACACAGAAGAAGGUAUUGAAAAGAGUUACACAGAAGAAGGUAUUGAAAAGAGUAACACAGAAGAAGGUAUUGAAAAGAGUAACACAGAAGAAGGUAUUGAAAAGAGUAACACAGAAGAAGGUAUUGAAAAGAGUUACACAGAAGAAGGUAUUGAAAAGAGUAACACAGAAGAAGGUAUUGAAAAGAGUUACACAGAAGAAGGAAUUUGAAAAGAGUAACACAGAAGAAGGUAUUGAAAAGAGUUACACAGAAGAAGGAAUUUGAAAAGAGUAACACAAGAAGAAGGAAUUUGAAGAUAAAUAACACAAGAAGAAGAAAUGUGAAGUAACACCGGAAGGAAAAUGCAGAGAAGUAACACUAGAAAAAUGAAAAUGGAAAUGAAAAGAAUCAUCCACCUUUCGGCCCAAACCAACAUCACAAAAUUAUGGGCGAGUCUCUUCUGGGAGGAAAGCGGCUCGUUCAGACCCAGGAACACCAGAAAGGAUGAUAGAAACAUCAAGAAAAGGAAAACAGAAAAGUCAUCCACCUUUCGGCCCCUGGGGCCGCAGGGUGGGUGACGGGUGAAUCUCCUCUGGGGAGAAGGAGGCUAACCCACACAGUCAAGAUAGAG